AACACGCAGACUCCUGGACCAUUUGGUAAUCAUUGCCUUGGACAAGAAAGCGUACAUAAGAUGAGAAGAUUUACAUGACUGCUGGAUAUUUGUCAAUGAUGUGGAGAAGGAUAGAAUUUCUGCGUGUUAUUCUCGAAAUGGGAUACAACUUUAUUUUCUCGUUUACAAAUCUCAAGUACUCCAGAGUUGAAAUUGAUGAAGUAC